AGCUUGCUUCAGAGAAAUUUAAGAACAAGGCACAUGAACCCUCAUCCCUACUAAAAUAAAAGACCAAACUGCCAGUGGCUUCAACAAGGGCACAAACUCAAGGUUUAGAAGGAGUACUGUGAUACGUAUAUCCUCAGCCGGAUGACAGAGCUUCCCCUGAAGUUGAUGACGGUGUUAACAGUGAUCAUUUCCAAGUCCAACUGAAUAGUACGGGGCCCCUUCACGGGACGGGUCAUCACCAGAGUAGCGCUGAUCGGUCCCGUUUGCUGUGCACAAAACAAGAGGAAACAGUGAGAAUCUGAGGUUCUCGGGAGGAAUGCGUAUUGGAAUCUACCAAAACCCAUCACGCUACCGGUUUCUGUGAGGAAGUGUGGGAACCGUCAAUAGCCACUGAACAUCACUUAAGGUGAAUAUCAAAGCCAGGUUUUGUCUAGGGUUAAAAAUCAACCUUCUGAAUGCCACCAUCACUGGUGGCUGUGCCUCAUUCUCUGCAGACACUUCCCACCACCCCUGUGUGUCAGAGGUGCCAUGAAGAUGACUGGGGAACAGAGAUGUCUUCUGAGGAAAAUUCAGAUUAAAAAAAAAAAGUAGUUGCAUUUUCUCUAACAGUAACUACAUAAAAUGUGUGCUCAGUGAAAAAAAAACAACAUAACAAAUGAAAGCAAAGAACCCAGAAAGUCAAUUCAUGGGAUAAAGGGGAGGUGGGGGGGGUGCUUACUU